AAUUCGCAUUAGGGAUUGCAGUGGAAAUCUUUUUUUUAUGCAUUUUUCGGCAGCAAAAAAGAUUGGAACGAAAAGCCAGUAUAACA
rnacentral:sRNA from 1 species